rnacentral:lncRNA from 1 species
GGAGAUUCAGAGACGUCCUUCCUCAAGAAGGAACCUCUGCCUGGCCUUCAGCAGGGCCACUGUCAUGUGCGAUAUUCACUUAGAGCCUUAUCACAUUUGUGGCUGUAGAGGUGUUUGCGUGCCUUGUUUAAUUUAUCCCACUAGACUGCCUUUCGAACGGAGCCCGGGGAGGACAGGCUGGCAGAGGAGGGAGGAGGGUUUCUAGCUGAGAGAGACUGCGGCUGUGGGCCUGCAGCCUACCCCUCUUCAAGCUCUCCGGAGCCGUUCCUGCGAAACCAGCCCCCACAAAUAAGGAAGCUGGGAUUCAGAGAAAUUAAGGGACUUGGUGAAGCAGAGAAUGCCAAGGGAAUUGAUUCAGUAGUGGACGGGGAGUCCCUGAAGACUGUUGAGCAGUGAAGAGACCUGAUCGCAUACUAAAAAAGUACAUGCAAUGGCAAGAAGAUCAACUAAGAGAAGCAAGUCAACUUCAGCACAUAACCAAGGAGAGAAAAUUACACAAGGUUGUGAAAUACCAGAACCAUGGCUCGUUGUGAUCCAUCCUAGGGAGUAUUUGAUGCACUGUCCUGGGCAAAUGGCAGAAAUAAAUUCCAUAUCAAA